rnacentral:tRNA from 1 species
UUCGCGGUCGACGAGGGCCUUCACGCCGUCCCGCAGGCGCGGCGGGAGACCGGUGGGGGCGCCGGUCGCGUCGGUGCCGCGGCCGGCCCGUACGCCC